UCCCUACUGGCUCAGACAGUAAAGCAUCUGCCUGCAAAACAGGAAACCUGGGUUCAAUCCCUGGGUUGGGAA
rnacentral:tRNA from 1 species